AAUAGGGGUGUCACGCAACGACCAGACAAGAGGUGGAGGUUACUAGGGGUGUCACUCUAAGACCGAAAAAGAGGUGAGGUUACUAGGGGUGUCACGCAACGACCAGACAAGAGGUGGAGGUUACUAGGGGUGUCACUCUAAGACCGAAAAAGAGGUGAGGUUACUAGGGGUGUCACGCAACGACCAGACAUGAGGUGAGGUUACUAGGGGUGUCACGCAAAGACCAAGCGAGAGGUGAGGUUACUAGGGGUGUCACUCAAAGACCGAACAAGAGGUGAGGUUACUAGGGAUGUCACGCAACGACCAGACAUGAGGUGAGGUUACUAGGGGUGUCACGCAACGACCAGACAUGAGGUGAGGUUACUAGGGAUGUCAGUUACUACUGUUUUUUUUUUGUAAUUUAUCCCAUGUGUAUUUUCCUACCAUUGUAUUUUGUAGUAGUAUUAGUGAGGGUUAAGUUAGAAAACCUAACGGUUAUUAUGUAUACCCUCGAAAAAUAAAGUUUAUUGCAUCGUAUUGGAUGUCACGCAAGGACCAAAUGUGAGGUGAGGUUACUAAGGGGUGUAACGCAACGAACAAACGAGAGGCGAGGCUACAAGUAGUGUCAGGCAAACGAGAGAUGAAGUGUGUCACACAACGGACAAACGAGAGGCGAGGUUACAAGUAGUGUCAGGCAAACGAGAGAUGAAGUGUGUCACACAACGGACAAACGAGAGGCGAGGUUACAAGUAGUGUCAGACAAACGAGAGAUGAAGUGUGUCACACAACGGACAAACGAGAGGCGAGGUUACAAGUAGUGUCAGGCAAACGAGAGAUGAAGUGUGUCACACAACGGACAAACGAGAGAUGAAGUGUGUCACACAACGGACAAACGAGAGGUGAGGUUACCAGGGCCUAGGGUUGUCAUACAAAAAACGCAUGAGAGAUGACUUAUCCUUUACAAAUCUCUUUUACCAACAGUGUGAAGAACUAAGUAGACAACAAAA